rnacentral:rRNA from 1 species
GGCGAAUUGGGCCCUCUAGAUGCAUGCUCGAGCGGCCGCCAGUGUGAUGGAUAUCUGCAGAAUUCGCCCUUCGGUUGAUCCUGCCGGAGGCCACUGCUAUGGGGGUCCGACUAAGCCAUGCGAGUCAUGGGGCGCCUUGCGCGCACCGGCGGACGGCUCAGUAACACGUCGGUAACCUACCCUCGGGAGGGGGAUAACCCCGGGAAACUGGGGCUAAUCCCCCAUAGGCCUGAGGUACUGGAAGGUCCUCAGGCCGAAAGGGGCUCUGCCCGCCCGAGGAUGGGCCGGCGGCCGAUUAGGUAGUUGGUGGGGUAACGGCCCACCAAGCCGAAGAUCGGUACGGGCCAUGAGAGUGGGAGCCCGGAGAUGGACACUGAGACACGGGUCCAGGCCCUACGGGGCGCAGCAGGCGCGAAACCUCCGCAAUGCGGGAAACCGCGACGGGGGGACCCCCAGUGCCGUGGCAACGCCACGGCUUUUCCGGAGUGUAAAAAGCUCCGGGAAUAAGGGCUGGGCAAGGCCGGUGGCAGCCGCCGCGGUAAUACCGGCGGCCCGAGUGGUGGCCGCUAUUAUUGGGCCUAAAGCGUCCGUAGCCGGGCCUGUAAGUCCCUGGCGAAAUCCCACAGCUCAACCGUGGGGCUUGCUGGGGAUACUGCAGGCCUUGGGACCGGGAGAGGCCGGGGGUACUCCUGGGGUAGGGGUGAAAUCCUAUAAUCCCAGGAGGACCGCCAGUGGCGAAGGCGCCCGGCUGGAACGGGUCCGACGGUGAGGGACGAAGGCCAGGGGAGCGANCCGGAUUANAUACCCGGGUAGUCCUGGCUGUAAAGGAUGCGGGCUA